AUCACACGUCAUCCAGAAACCAGAUGUUCCCAGGCCGAGACGCAGAGAGCAGGGGUGCGGCUUAGUCCAGAGCAGCACUUUUUCUGGCUUUUACGAGGGCCUGGAGGGCAGGGAGGAGGACCACAGAGGGCAGGGGCUGUGCUAAGGUGAGCUGGUUCCCAGGAGCCCCACGUGCCUGCAGGGAGCCCGGAGGUGCCCCGCCCUGGCCACAGCCCACUCAGGUCAGCCAGCCUGCAGCCGUGGCCUUGGAUGGUCUGAGGCACUCGUACCCAGGACGCAGGUGUCUGAGGCCAGCCAACCUGCAGAGCACCUGCCUCGUGGGGCGGGCUGAAGGAAGGGGGCCUGCGCGAGGGUUUCUGGGAACCACCCCAAAUUCGGGAGCCUCCACAGCCAUGGAGGUUCCUCAGGGACUGUUUAAUUUUGGCCUGAUGCCCCUUGGCAGUUGCUGGAAGCCCUGGCCCUGUUGUCACAGCCAGACCCUCAGAGUGCUGGGGAGAGAAAUCGGAGUCUGAAAAGCUGGUCUCUUCACGUCUGCCCUUGCCAGAAGCUACCCACAUGUCAUGUUAGGGGGCCAAGCAUUUAGCAAACUGGGGUGUGGGCUUCACCUCUGUGACCCCGGGGGGCUGAUCUGGGGGCCCCUGAGGGACUGCCCAUUGUGGGGUGCAGAGAGGAAGGUCAGACCUGACAAUUUCCCACUAAGUGGGAAGAGACGGAAAGAUCCAGAAAGCCAAGUCUCUGGGAGGUUUUUUGUUUUAUUGCUUAAUGCCACUCAUUUUGGUUUGAGGGUGAGCCCAGGAAGGGGGGGUGCUGGGCUCCAUUGUGUCCAGGCCAGUCCCCGGGAGGGAGCUGAGAGGCUCCUGAGUUCUUUCCAAGUCAUCACUCCUUCGGUGCCCGUGUCCCAUUCACCCAUCGCACACACACACACACACAUACUCCCGGGCCCCGGGGGGCUGCAAGGAGGGGCCCUCCCUGAGGGGCAGGUGUGGUGAACACUCGGGGAGAGUUCCUGAAUGCUGCCGGUCCAGGUGUGAGCGGGGUCAAGCUGCUGGUCCUCUGUCCGCUCUCUCCCGCUCAGGACUCCAGAAGGCGCCCUCCUCUUAUCCCUGGGAUCAGCAGAGGCUGUGGCUUCCUGUGGGCCUGCGCUUCCUGCCGCUCGCCGUCCCCUCAGCUUCCCCUAGCUUGUACAUAUGUGGUUGUGGCACACCCUGGGCCCCUGCCCUGUAACCACCAUCCUGAUGUAACGACUCUAGUUCCCUGAUGUCCUAAACCCGAGUGUUAGGCUCUAGGUUCCUGUACUGUGUGUGUGCACUUAAGAUUCUGUCCAAUUAAGAAAUAAAUGUGGCUCCUUAUGCAACACCAGACCUGCGGGCCUCCACAGUGGCUUUAUUUGUGUGUGAAGUCUGUUGGAUGAGGCUGGAAAUGGCCGCUGGGCCAGAUGUCCAGCACUGACCAGAGACAGCACCCACUGCUCACGGUGGGGAGGCAGGGUGUGGGGGGGUGCCGAGAGCCCAAGGGGUGUGAGGGACAAGAUGAUGUUUAUCAUGAAGGCGCCCACCUGUGUUCCUUGGUCACUGGCCACACCCACCCGCAUUGUUCACGCACCCUUGGGCGCGCCGGGCAGCCCCAAGCUUUCCAUGUAGUCAGCAUUACCCCAUACCUGAACCAGACGAAGGUAU
ensembl:lincRNA